UUUGGCUGCUUUGGCUGCCUGCAGAGCAGCCCAGGCAGCCUCUCGGAAAGACAUUAAAGUAGUCCCUUGGUGCUCAGCCUCCCGCCGCGAUGAACGAUGCCAUUUGCAUCCCAGCAAAGCCAAGGAGGCUGCCUGUACUAACCUGCUCGUGUUCCUGAGGGACUGGGAAUGGGCUGCUCACAAGGACACGCUUGAUGGAGGGCACCUGAAGACCUGAAGGGCAAGCAGCCUGACUCUGGCAGCCACAUCCUGACUCCUGCACAGGGCACAGCCUGGCAAAACACCAGAGGGGCAGGCAAGGG